rnacentral:rRNA from 1 species
UAGGGAAUCUUCCACAAUGGACGCAAGUCUGAUGGAGCAACGCCGCGUGAGUGAAGAAGGCUUUCGGGUCGUAAAACUCUGUUAUUGAAGAAGAACGUGUGUGACAGUAACUGGUCAUGCAGUGACGGUAUUCAAUCAGAAAGUCACGGCUAACUACGUGCCAGCAGCCGCGGUAAUACGUAGGUGGCAAGCGUUGUCCGGAUUUAUUGGGCGUAAAGCGAGUGCAGGCGGUCUUUUAAGUCCGANGUGAAAGCCUUCGGCUUAACCGAAGAAGGGCAUCGGAAACUGGGAGACUUGAGUGCAGAAGAGGAGAGUGGAACUCCAUGUGUAGCGGUGAAAUGCGUAGAUAUACGGAAGAACACCAGUGGCGAAGGCGGCUCUCUGGUCUGUAACUGACGCUGAGGCUCNAAAGCGUGGGUAGCAAACAGGAUUA